rnacentral:rRNA from 1 species
AUGCAAGAGGUGUGGUGGCUUGGGUCACUUACUGAAAACCUACAAAAAGCCAUUGAUCCAGCAUUGGUGAAGAAGAUGCACACUGGGGAGCUGACAAUGCGGAAGAAGACCCUCCUAACCAAAAUGCAGACCUACAUGAUGAACAACAAGAAGAAGAGGAACCAUACAGUGAAGAUGAAGCUCCAGUGCAGCCUGCAGGUGCAGAUGAUGCUCCAGUGUAGCCUGCAGGUGCAGAUGAUGCUCCAGUGCAGCCUACAGGUGCAAAUGAUGCUCAAGUAG